UACAGAGACUGCAAGCGUUAUUCGGAUUCGCUGGGCGUAAAGGGUGCGCAGGCGGUCGGGUGUGUCAGAUGUGAAAUCCCGAGGCUCAACCUCGGAACUGCGUCUGAAACUACUCGACUAGAGUACUGGAGAGGGUAACGGAAUUCACGGUGUAGCAGUGAAAUGCGUAGAUAUCGUGAGGAACACCAGAGGCGAAGGCGGUUACCUGGACAGUUACUGACGCUCAGGCACGAAAGCAUGGGGAGCAAAAGGG
rnacentral:rRNA from 1 species